rnacentral:rRNA from 1 species
GACGAACGCUGGCGGCGUGCCUAAUACAUGCAAGUCGAACGAACUCUGGUAUUGAUUGGUGCUUGCAUCAUGAUUUACAUUUGAGUGAGUGGCGAACUGGUGAGUAACACGUGGGAAACCUGCCCAGAAGCGGGGGAUAACACCUGGAAACAGAUGCUAAUACCGCAUAACAACAUGGACCGCAUGGUCCGAGUUUGAAAGAUGGCUUCGGCUAUCACUUUUGGAUGGUCCCGCGGCGUAUUAGCUAGAUGGUGAGGUAACGGCUCACCAUGGCAAUGAUACGUAGCCGACCUGAGAGGGUAAUCGGCCACAUUGGGACUGAGACACGGCCCAAACUCCUACGGGAGGCAGCAGUAGGGAAUCUUCCACAAUGGACGAAAGUCUGAUGGAGCAACGCCGCGUGAGUGAAGAAGGGUUUCGGCUCGUAAAACUCUGUUGUUAAAGAAGAACAUAUCUGAGAGUAACUGUUCAGGUAUUGACGGUAUUUAACCAGAAAGCCACGGCUAACUACGUGCCAGCAGCCGCGGUAAUACGUAGGUGGCAAGCGUUGUCCGGAUUUAUUGGGCGUAAAGCGAGCGCAGGCGGUUUUUUAAGUCUGAUGUGAAAGCCUUCGGCUCAACCGAAGAAGUGCAUCGGAAACUGGGAAACUUGAGUGCAGAAGAGGACAGUGGAACUCCAUGUGUAGCGGUGAAAUGCGUAGAUAUAUGGAAGAACACCAGUGGCGAAGGCGGCUGUCUGGUCUGUAACUGACGCUGAGGCUCGAAAGUAUGGGUAGCAAACAGGAUUAGAUACCCUGGUAGUCCAUACCGUAAACGAUGAAUGCUAAGUGUUGGAGGGUUUCCGCCCUUCAGUGCUGCAGCUAACGCAUUAAGCAUUCCGCCUGGGGAGUACGGCCGCAAGGCUGAAACUCAAAGGAAUUGACGGGGGCCCGCACAAGCGGUGGAGCAUGUGGUUUAAUUCGAAGCUACGCGAAGAACCUUACCAGGUCUUGACAUACUAUGCAAAUCUAAGAGAUUAGACGUUCCCUUCGGGGACAUGGAUACAGGUGGUGCAUGGUUGUCGUCAGCUCGUGUCGUGAGAUGUUGGGUUAAGUCCCGCAACGAGCGCAACCCUUAUUAUCAGUUGCCAGCAUUAAGUUGGGCACUCUGGUGAGACUGCCGGUGACAAACCGGAGGAAGGUGGGGAUGACGUCAAAUCAUCAUGCCCCUUAUGACCUGGGCUACACACGUGCUACAAUGGAUGGUACAACGAGUUGCGAACUCGCGAGAGUAAGCUAAUCUCUUAAAGCCAUUCUCAGUUCGGAUUGUAGGCUGCAACUCGCCUACAUGAAGUCGGAAUCGCUAGUAAUCGCGGAUCAGCAUGCCGCGGUGAAUACGUUCCCGGGCCUUGUACACACCGCCCGUCACACCAUGAGAGUUUGUAACACCCAAAGUCGGUGGGGUAACCUUUUAGGAACUAGCCGCCUAAGGUGGGACAGAUGAUUAGGGUG